rnacentral:rRNA from 1 species
AUGGCCGACGCGGAACGCCAGCAGCACGGCCCAGGCGACGGCGGGCGCCCCCACUUCCUCAUCGUGGCCUACGGCAUCCAGAGCCACCUCAACCCGUGCCGCGUCCUCGCGCGCCGCCUCGUGCAGCUCCACGAUGCGGACGGCUCAGGCCCCGUCCUCGCCACGCUCUCGGUCCCGCUGUUCACCCACCGCCGCAUGUUCCCUUUGUCCGGCAACGGCGAGCCGGAGGGGGCGGAGGCCGCAGACGGUGCCAUCUCCUCCCUUCCCUUCUCCGACGGCGUCGACGACGGCACCACCGCCAGGGGCCCCGAGGAGAGGGCGCGCCGCCGCCGCGCGUCCGCCGAGAGCCUCUUUGAGGUCGUCGCGCGCCUCGCCUCCCGCGGCCGGCCCGUUACGUGCAUCGUGUGCAGCAUGAUGCUCCCCUGGGCACUGGACGUCGCGCGGGAGCACGCCAUCCCGUUGGCCGUGUUUUGGAUACAGCCGGCAACCGUCCUCGCCACCUACUACCACUACUUCCACGGUUACGGCGAGCUCAUCGCGUCCCACGCCGCCGACCCCGCGUACGAGGUGACUCUGCCCGGGCUGAGCAGGCCUCUCAGGAUCCGUGACUUCCCGUCAUUCCUCGUCGACACGACCGGAGGUGAGGUGGGCAAGGUCGUCAACGCGGUGUUCUGUGAGCUGUUCGAGUUCAUGGACGAGCAGAGGCGGAAUGUCAAGGUCCUCGUGAACACUUUCGACGAACUGGAGCCGGCAGCGCUGGCGGCCAUGAGGGAGCACAUGGAUGUGUUCGCCGUCGGCCCCGUGGUCGGGUCUUCGGCCGACGCGCGGAUCCAUCUGUUUAACCACGCUGGUGACGACAAGAUGAGGUACAUGGAGUGGCUCGGGGCGCAGCCGGCGAGGUCGGUGGUGUACGUCUCGUUCGGCAGCAUAUGGACGUACAGCAAGCAGCAGAUGGAGGAGAUCGCGGACGGGCUGCGGCGGUGCGGACGGCCGUACCUGCUCGUGGUGCGCAAGGACGGGCGGCAGGAGGACGUGAGCCGCUGCCUCGAGGACGUCGUGCAGGAGAGGAAGGGCAUGGUGGUGGAGUGGUGCGACCAGCCGGAGGUCCUCUCGCACCCGUCCGUGGGGUGCUUCGUCACCCACUGCGGGUGGAACUCGACGCUCGAGGCCAUGGCGCUGGGCGUGGCUGUCGUCGCCGCGCCGAGCACGUUCGACCAGCCGACGAACGCGAUGUUGAUAGAGGAGGAGUGGGCUGCCGGCGUUAGGGGAGAGCGCAACGGCGAGGGCAUCUUCUCCGGGCCGGAGCUGGCGAGGUGCGUUGAGCUGGUCAUGGGCGACGGCGCGAGGGCCGUGGAGGUCAGGAAAAAAGUGGAGUCUCUGAAAGGGAUGGCGCGGGAUGCAAUGGCUCCCGGAGGGCCGGCGGAAAGAAACCUCCGAAGCUUCGUCAUGGAGGUCCAAAGUUCGGAUGAAGCUCGCAGGAAGGAUACAAACACCAUAAGUCCACAACCAUGA